rnacentral:lncRNA from 1 species
AAAGAUGAAGAUGAAGCUGCAGUCAAGAGUGCUGAGAAGUCUCAUCAGGACAUGCUUGAUUGGUUCACCAAAUUUGUCAAGUGAUGAAAUAAAGGCUAUCAGAAAAUCACCAGAGAAGACUCCCACACAGAAAUAAGGCUUUGUUCUGUAGUUGCAUCAAACAAGUCAGAAGCCUCGAAAGCCUCUUAAUUUGGAUGGUAUCGACUGGUUGAGUUCACCAAGACGAGAUGUCUUGAAUUUGGAUGGUAUUUUUUCCAAUGGCUUGAUGCAAUGUUUGAUCAUUUCGAUCAAACUAAUAAAUAGAGCUUAAAUGAUCGAUGUGGACUCCCGGUUGAGCUUCGUUGUCGGGCUAACUGAAAAGAGACUAGGUAGUGAG